rnacentral:lncRNA from 1 species
UGGCCCAGCAGCUAACUGGAGCUCCAGUGGUGGCGCGCAGCAACCUUCGUCUCUGAACGGCCCUUCCCAAUGCUUUCCCUGUGCAAAUUCUGCACCGGGUACAAAGGCUAUCAAGAUUACAGGGUAUUGAGUAGAGAAGCCUAUAAUCUAAGAAGGAAUUUACCCACAGCAGUCCCUCCUCCCGGGGAAUAAAGCUCCCAGCCAGUAAUGUGGCUGUUUUGGAGCUCAGAGGAGGCCCUGCCUAUAGGGCUGCUAGUUGAGCAGAUCCCUGCUGGUGAGGGUCUUGGGACCACCAAGGUGACAUGAGAACCCUGGUCUUUCCAAGGUGUUAGUUGUCAGACAGCAGGACUGAAGAUUAACUUUUCCAAUAUUUUUUAGGCCCAAGACUGAGGAACAGUAACUGAUGUGUAGCAGAAUGGCACUCCUUCGGCUCCCACCCCUACGCUGCCACGAAGACUGCCUGGCUCCCGGAAGACAGCCUCCAACCCCUUCCACUGCUCCUUUCGGCACAAAGCAAGUUAGUAUCCAGCUUUGUCAUCAGAAUGGGUGAGUUCAUAUCCUGCUGUUAUCUGCAUGACUUGAGAAAUUACUUAAGCUCUCAGAGUCUCGGCUUCCUUACGUGUAAAACAGAA